AGUGAACGCUGGCGGCGUGCUUAACACAUGCAAGUCGAACGAGAACGGGAUAUAGCUUGCUAUAUUUGUCAGCUAAGUGGCGCACGGGUGAGUAAUGUAUAGAUAACCUGCCCUCUAGAAAGGAAUAACAGUUGGAAACGACUGCUAAUGCCCUAUAUGCCUUUAAUACAUAAGUAUGCAAGGGAAACGCUUUAGUGCUAGAGGAUGGGUCUGUAUGGUAUCAGCUUAUUGGUGAGGUAAUGGCUCACCAAGGCUAUGACAUCUAACUGGUUUGAGAGGAUGAUCAGUCACACUGGAACUGAGACACGGUCCAGACUCCUACGGGAGGCAGCAGUGGGGAAUAUUGCACAAUGGACGAAAGUCUGAUGCAGCAACGCCGCGUGGAGGAUGACACAUUUCGGUGCGUAAACUCCUUUUAUAUAGGAAGAUAAUGACGGUACUAUAUGAAUAAGCACCGGCUAACUCCGUGCCAGCCGCCGCAGUAAAAC
rnacentral:rRNA from 1 species